UACGUAGGUGGCAAGCGUUGUCCGGAUUUAUUGGGUUUAAAGGGUGCGUAGGCGGCCCUGUAAGUCAGUGCUGAAAUAUCCCGGCUUAACCGGGAGGGUGGCAUUGAUACUGCGGGGCUAGAGUACAGAUGAGGUAGGCGGAAUUGACGGUGUAGCGGUGAAAUGCGUAGAUAUCGAGAGGAACACCGGUGGCGAAGGCGGAUCUCUGGGCCUUACCUGACGCUCAGGUGCGAAAGCUAGGGGAGCGAACAGG
rnacentral:rRNA from 1 species